CAAAGAUUAGGUCUAUUCAUUCUUUCUAACUAUUUUGUGUACCUUUUAAAAUUGAGGUUCAAAAGGAAGUUGUAAUGGUUUCAAAACAAUUGAGAUCAGGGAUCUCUAAAUGGGGCUUUGAGGCACCGGGAAACAUACCCUUACCCUAACCUGCAAAUGGGACUCUGAGAAUGUAAAUGCUUAGGUCAAGUUACCAACUAAAUAACAAAGGCUAAGCCCAGAUAUCAGUUCUAUAAUUUGAGGUGCCCCCACCAUUAUUUUCUCUUGAUCCUCAAGUUUCUUACUCUUUUUACUCAUUUCAAUAUUGUCCAGCUGUAGAUGAAUUCUAUUUUUAGAAGUUAGUGUGGUUACAUUUAAACCUAAUUUUCAAACUGACUUGCUUGAGAUCCAAAGCACAUUUUUAAGCGUCAGAGCUCUAGGAACAGAAAAUAGCAUCCCUGGGAUGACAGGAAGGAUGCCCUGUGCCUGGAGGAGGUCUCUCUCCAGGAUUCAGCACACCGUGGAGCUGUGGGAAGUGUGUUAUCUCUGUCAUGAGAGAGAAAGGAGUGGCUGGCUCAGCAAGAUUAGAGCCUCUCUCUGGAUUGUUCCUCAGAACCAGAAGAACUGUGUGGAGUGGCAGCAACUGGAGGAAGCAGAAUGUCCCCGAGCAAGAUUGUCAAGAGAAAAAAGUUACAUGUAUAAAAUCUACAGUAGAAUUGGAAGAUGGAUCUAAUGAGAAUAACACUAAGGAAACACCAUCCUUCAAAAACUAAAAGCUCCUUGAUGAGGACAAGAAAAUGAAGUGUCCCAGAAGAGGAAAUGCAGUAAGUGUUGGGGAUAAAAAGAAGGUUAGAAAGCGAACAAUUUCAGAAGGGAAGAAAUGACCUCUAAAAGGGAAGCUGGGAUGAUAGCAAAGGCAAUGUCAACGUCCUCACAAUUUCACUUAGAUUUUCCUGGCUACUCUGCAGAAGGCAUGAUAAGAUAAAUGCUUAUUGAUUUCAAGAUCAAGGCAACAGGAUCCUUUCUGUUUAAUUAUUUCUUUGUAAGUUAAAAACUAAAUGCUUUGGCAAGUGCUGUAAAUACAAAGGGCAGGGGUAUUCAGUGCCCUUAGAAUCAAUGGCAAGUUCAAGCUGUGUGUGACAAGGGAUAACCAUUAUUCAUCCAUUCAUUCUAACAAAGUCUGUAAAUGACUACCAUGCAUUAGGUGAUGGUCUGGUCACUGAAAUAUCAGAGACAGGUAAAGCUCAGUCUCUGUUCUUAAGGACCUCAGGGUUUAGAAGAAGAAAAAGACAUAUAAGUAAGUACAAUAGAAAUAUAAACAAGAACCAAAGGUAGCUCAGGGGAAGUGAGUAACUCUUAGAGGAAAAUAUUAAAUAAAGGAUUUCUGGAUGAGAGGAUGUUUGAACUGAAUUCUGAAGAUGAAUAAAAGUCCUUCUGGAGAAAUAAAAACACCAUUUUGGCAGAAAUAAUAGUAUAUGUGAAUACAUUUAGAACAAAGCAUGGAAACUAUGUUUAGGAUAUUGUCAUAAGCUUGGUAUCUUUAGAGCAUUUUGUGUAAGUGGUGAGGGGAGAAAAUGGGAGGAGAUAAAAAACGUAAACGUAGGGUAGGGUAGAUUAUGAAUGGAUAGAAAUGUCUCUUAAAGCAUCUGAACUAUACCCAAAUGCCUAGGAGGAGAA
rnacentral:lncRNA from 1 species